GUGAGGAAUAUUGGUCAAUGGGCGGAAGCCUGAACCAGCCAUCCCGCGUGGAGGAAGACGGCCCUAUGGGUUGUAAACUUCUUUUCAAGGGGAAGAAAGUUCGCGACGUGUCGCGAUUUGCCGGUACCUUUGGAAUAAGCAUCGGCUAACUCCGUGCCAGCAGCCGCGGUAAUACGGAGGAUGCGAGCGUUAUCCGGAUUUAUUGGGUUUAACGGGUGCGUAGGCCGAUCGAUAAGUCAGCGGUGAAAUACCAUGGACCAACCAUGGAACUGCAGUUGAUACUGACGGUAUUGAAUGUGGUCAAGGUAGGCGGAAUGGGUAAUGUAGCGGUGAAAUGCUUAGAUAUUACACAGAACACCAAUUGCGAAGGAAGCUCACUAAGGCGAUAAUGACGCUGAGGCACGAAAGCGUGGGGAUCGAACAGGAUUAGAUACCCUUGUAGUCC
rnacentral:rRNA from 1 species